rnacentral:lncRNA from 1 species
GGGAAUUGACGCUUGGAAAUUGAAAAGGAUUUUGAUAUUAACUAUUUUCCAAGGAGUGUUAAAGAAGCGAUGAUAAAGCAAUUUCUUUAUUUUCCGACUGCCCGGAAGGGACCAAAAAACAUCUUGUUUUUUCUUCGACAAUUCCCGAUCUUUAGUGGAUCUCCCAAUGGGAUUCAAAUACACUAUCUCCCAUUGGGAUUCAAAUCCACUUAAAAUUCUGAGUAUCAGUUCAAGAAGAAAAGAAAGAAUACGACAACCCAUGGAAGUAAAACGGAAGAGAUUCCCUUCAUGUUG